AGUAGAAAUAUAAUGGCAUUCCAUCCAUGUCUGGAAAAAAGGAAAAACAAGCUAAGAUUUCUAUAUAUGUAACAUUAAUUAGAAGCACGCUAAAACGACAAAAUGACGAGAAAAUAACACAAUAAAAUUUAUUUAAAAAAUCCCUUUUUACCAAGUUCCUUCGAUGCCUUCAAAGGAUGACACACCUUUCUGCAAUAUUUGCAUUCACGCUUGUGCUUGAAUUCAUGCCAUUCUAAAAUUUCUUCCAAUGAAGGUAUUUGUGGUAAUAAUUUGUCCUGACAAGAUUGUGUUGGAUUUCCUUGUUGACCAAGCACAGUUUGUAGAUGCUCAAUUUCUUGUAGGGCACUUUCAAUUUCAUUGGAACCCAUAGCUUAAAUCUGAAACAUUAAAAAGAAUAAUUAAAGACCUGCUAAUUGCUAACAGAUUCGAGACAAAAAGAAGAUCUUGUCCGCAGACAAACAGGCGCAGAAACCACGGAAAUACGUGAAAACCACGUGAAAACAAAAACAACGCCGUUACUUCAAAAAAAAGAAGGUAGUAGCCCCGGGGGUCCUUGGCCGUUUAAAAAAAAAGAUACAGUAUCUACUGGUAAUAGUGCGAUACAUGAAAAGGCCCAAGAGAUAACUACACAAGACAUUCAAGAGAACAAGAACACCAUUCAAGAAGAGAAAAUCAAUCGAAAAAGAAUGUCAGAAAAACUGUUGAAUAAGGUCCUUUAAAUGAAGAUACAAAAGAGAAAUGAGAGUUAAAGAAAUGGAUCCAAUGCUGACACGAAUAGGAGGAGCUUACAUUCCUCCUACAAAGCCAAGAAUUAUGCAAGCUCAAAUAACUGACAAGUCAAGCUUAGCUUUUCAGUGUAUUACUUGGGAAGCUCUUUAAAAAUCCAUUAAUGUAUUAAUCAACAAAGUCAAUGUGUCAAAUAUCCCAUUGAUUAUAACAUCAUUGUUAAAAGUAAAUAUUGUUAGGGGUUGUGGUCUUCUAUCUAGGUCCAUCAUUCAGGCACAAGCUACAACACCAAAUUUUUUACAUAUAUAUAUUCAGCCCUUGCUGCAUUGAUCAAUUCCAAAUUUCCUAACAUCGGUGAACUGCUAUUAUCUCGACUUAUUCUUCAAUUUCGCCGCGGGUUUCAUCGAAAUGAUAAACAAAUAUGUAUCAGUUCGACAAGAUUCAUAGCACAUUUGGUGAACCAAUAAUUAAGUUGUAAUGUUGAAGCUUUUCUCUUGUUUUCCCUUUUCCUUCUCAGCUCGAAGACACCAUCAGUUGGCAAGUGAUGUCUAACAUUCGACUAAUUGAAGAAAAAACAACAAACUCGUCGAGAAUUUUUCUUAAAAUUUUUAUUUCAAGAAGUGACAGACUUCAUGGGUCUCAGCAAACUAAAUCUUCGCCUCAAAGACCGUUAAGUUCAUAAAUUUUUUUUUCUUGUUUGAUUUGAUACGUCACCGCAUUUUUAUAAAUUUUUUAUUUUAGGACUUUGCAGCCGUAUUUUGAAAGAGUUUUCCCUCGCGAUGAUCCUCGCAACACUCGAUUUGCCAUUAAUUUCUUAACUUCCAUCGGUUUAGGAGAUUUGACUUAUGUAGAGACGAACUUCGGGAACAACUUUGGAAUCACCCUAAGCCACUGCGAAAAUAAUUGUGAAAACCCGACAUGGAUGCAAAUAGAUAAAUUCUUUCGAUUACAAUUGAUAUCAUCUCCUUACGUGAAAGAGCGCAAAUUAGACUAUUAAGACACAUAGAAUCUGCUGGAAAUGUUUGUAUGAACCUAUUCUAAUUUACAAAAUAAAAAGAACAAAAGUCUCCCAGUAAUAGCAGUUCACCGAUGUUAGGAAACUAAAACAUCCACAAACAUAAGAUUUUAAUUUAAAUAAUUACACAAAUAAUUUUAAUAAAUAGCCUACUCAAAUUAAUAUAAAUCAAGUUUAUACUUUGGAAUUGAUCAAUGCAGCAAGGGCUGAAUAGAUAUAUGUGUAAAUGUUGGUGUUGCAGCAUCAUCAGCAUCCCACUGAAAAGCUAAGCUUGACUUGUCAGUUAUUUGAGCUUGCAUAAUUCUUGGCUUUGUAGGAGGAAUGUAAGCUCCUCCUAUUCGUGUCAGCAUUGGAUCCAUUUCUUUAACUCUCAUUUCUCUUUUGUAUCUUCAUUUAAAGGACCUUAUUCACCAGUUUUUCUGACAUUCUUUUUCGAUUGAUUUUCUCUUCUUGAAUGGUGUUCUUGUUCUCUUGAAUGUCUUGUGUAGUUAUCUCUUGGGCCAUAAU
rnacentral:lncRNA from 1 species